AACUAUAGCAGAGGAAAAUAAGCCAUUGUUGACUACCAAGGUUAAGGGGUUGACCAUGGAGCUAUAGAUUCGAAAAAUAAAAGCCUUAGACGGUGAUUUUCUCUUACUUCUCACCUAUUUCAACCGUCAAACCCUCCCAAACACUUUCCAAACCUUUCUCCAACCACCAUGGACCACAUUUAGCAAGUAUUCAACCUUCCAACUUGGAUCUAAGGUAAACAUUGGCAUUUUUAAGCUUAAAUACCAAGAUUUUGACCUAAUUUUAGGAUUUUACAAAUUGCAGCCCAUUUAUUCUAUUUUUAAGCUGAGGAUUUUGGGGGUUUUGUCUCAAGAAGUUUUUGAAGGUAAAAAAGUCUAUGAUUGUUCAUUUUAUGGUUUGGGUUUGAAGGUUAGAAAUUUAUUGAAGGCUAAAUGGAAAGUAGACGAUAACUUGACUAAUUUGAAAAUGGGUUUAUGCUAGGAAAUAGAAACUUAUGAGAGGAUUUAUUUUGCUAGGCAAUUGUUAAAGCUCAAGAUUGUUGACAAGCAAGGUUUUGGUGACAUGAACCUUAAGAAAAGAAUACGCUUCUUGUUUUUUUUUUAGUGGAUACAACACUUACAAACUAUUUUGGUAUGUAAAGUUAAAACAUGAUUUGAUGAGUAUGGUUUCACAUAAAUGUUUUGUUAAGUGAGAAUGUUUUAUGGAUGAUAAAUUGUUUUGAAAUGGUUUUCAAAGCUACUACAUAUAUGUAAAUAUUCUACUUUGUAUUAGUUUUCAACAAAAGGGUGCAACAAGUCUUUUCAAGUGUUUUAUACCAGAAUCACCACUUUUAUGAAAUAUGUAUGAAAUGCUUGAAGCAUGCUAAAUUGCUAUGAUUAUGUGAUAAUGAAUCCCACAUAUUAUAUGAGUUAUGAAGGACUACAUGUCGUAUGUAUAUUAAUUUGUAUGUGAUGACAAUACCACAUACCCCAUGAAUGAGAAUAGGCAUAUGAUGUAAAUUAUGUUAAGAUAUGUGAGGUAAUUUCGACAUAACCCAUGAUAUGAGAAUGAACACAUGUUGAAUGUCAUGAUGCUAAGUAUGUGAGGUAGUUCCACAUACCACCUGUUAUGAGUAUAAGGUCACAACAUAAUGCCAAAUGAACACUAUGAGUCUCAUGAACAAUGGUAAAUUCUGAAAUGAGUAUUCGAUGUUAAGAUGUAAGAGGUUAGUUGUUACCCACGGUUAACGGGGGUUAUUUUCUUAACAAAUUUUAUAAGGUAAUGAAGGAUUUUUCCAUUACCAUCUUUUGAGUAAGGGGAGUGAAACAGUGAUUCCAUUCCCUCAUAUGCGUGCACUCACACCAACGAGAGUUAUACCAGAGGGCCCAUGGUGAAUGGUGGUUAUUCCAUCACAAAUGUUAAAUGAUGAAUGUUAGAUGAUGAAUGUUAAUUGAUGAAUGUUGAUUGAUGAAUGUUACUUAAUGUAUGAUUAAUGUUGUAGCUGAUUAUAUUUAAUGAAUGUGAUGUGUGUUAUUUUUAUCAAUAUGAUUCAUGAAAUGUUGGAACAAGGUUCCUUAAUCUAGUACAAAAGUAAUAAUGUAAGGUUGAUGUAUGAGACUUGGAAUCGGAUAGUUCGAAUUCCUUGACUUUUCAAGUGUUUGGUUGAUGAGCCCUAAAAGGUAAGUCUUGCUUCCAUGAUUUGAGAUGAUUAAUGUAUAAGUUAGCCCUUGUUGGAUGUGAUUAAGAAGGUCUUACAUUUGAAUUGUUUUUCUAAAGGAUUAAAUAAUUUCUUUGUGCAUAAAAAGUGUUUCCAUAGUUUAUUUGGAAUUUCUACUCAAAGAUUUAAAGGAAUGGUAUUUAAGAGACAUGGAUACAACUUUCAUGUUUACCACUAUGCCUAAUUCAAAUCAAAUCAAAGAGAAAAUUGUGUCACAAAAGGGUGGACUGUAGUAGAAUUUGGACAAGCAAGCAUAAAGGAGCCAAAGCCGCGACCUUAAGGAGGCCAGGGUUACGACGCCCUGAUGUGAAGGACAGCAUAGUAUGCCCAAAUAGGCCAAUGUUGUAGCCGUGAUAGAGGAGAAUGUUGUUCAAUGUACUACCCACGUAAGUAUACGUACGCAAAGAUAAUAUAAUGAUGAGUAGAGUAUCAUUCCCAUA
rnacentral:lncRNA from 1 species